AAGAGUCAGGAUCCACCACGGGCGGCAAUGACUGCUCCACAUUAUCACAUGCAGUAAGAGACCCCCUAUAUUUCACCAAGGUGCUCAUAUGUUAUAUGAAGAUGUGCCCACACACCACAAAGGGCAGAAGCUUCACACACGUGACCGCCUACUGAGUGACUGCGCAUUCUGUAAAAAUUAGGAGCCCAGGCUCAUCCGCCAAGCUCAUCAUUCCAGCCAUCUCCUGGCAGCACAGAGUGGCCCUAUCAAGAAGAAUACACAAGUGUCUGUUGCAAAACAUAACAGCGCUAAGAAAUAUACAGUUUAGAAGCCAAUAACUGCCUGCAAAGGGACCUGCUGCAAGGAGAUGAACGGCCAUAAGGACAACUCUGUUCCCAUUGUAACCAAAACUCAACUAGGACAUUGUUUCCCUGCUCCCCAUCAUAAGAAAUAACCAGAUUUUAGAGGAAAUUUCAUUGCAAGAGAUUGUUAUAUUGAGCAUGCCUAUAGGAAGAGGGGCUCCCUCUAGAUCAUUAGACAGAUAGAGACUCUAGGUCUCAUGCAGAAUUAAGGAGCUCAGUUAAAUAUCAGUCCACAGCAGGAAUUAUUAAUUAAUUAAUUUAUAUCCUGCCCUUAAUGGAACGGACCAAAGAAUUUCAGAAGAAAAUCACCCUGUGCUUUAUAGAUUACAGCAAAGCCUUUGAUUGUGUAGAUCAUGAAAAACAAUGGAAUGCUUUAAAAGAAAUGGGGGUGCCAGAGCAUCUGAUUGUCCUGAUGUGCAACCUAUACUCUGGACAAGAGGCUACUGUAAAGAUAGAAUAUGUAGAAACCGAUUGGUUCCCUAUCAGAAAGGGUGUGAGACGGGUGUAUUUUAUCACCCUAUUUGCUUAACCUAUAUGCAGAAUAUAUGAUAUGGAAAGCGGGAUUGGACCAAGAUGAAGGAGGUGUGAAAAUUGGAGGGAGAAAUAUCAAUAAUUUAAGAUAUGCAGAUGAUAAUGUACCACUAGCAGAAACCAGUAAUGAUUUGAAACAAAUGCUGAUGUCAGUUAAAGAGGAAAGCACAAAAGCAGGACUACAGCUGAACGUCAAGAAGGCUAAAGUAAUGACAACAGAAGAUUUAUGUAACUUUAAAGUUGACAGUGAGGACAGGAUUGUCCAGGAUUAUCAAUACAUUGUCCAGGAUUACCAGUACCUUGGCACAGUCAUUAACCAAAAUGGAGAAGAUAAGAAAUCAGAAGAAGGCUAGGACUGGGGAGGGCAGAUAUGAGAACUUGAAAAGGUCUUCAAAUGCAAAGAUGUAUCACUGAACACUAAAGUCAGGAUCAUUCAGUCAAUGGUAUUCCCGAUCUCUAUGUAUGGAUGUGAAAGUUGGACAGUGAAAAAAAUGGAUAAGAGAAAAAUCAACUGAUUUGAAAUGCAGUGUUGGAGGAGAGCUUUGUGCAUACCAUGAACCACGAAAAAGACAAAUAAUUGGGUGUUAGAACAAAUUAAACCAGAACUAUCACUAGAAGCUAAAAUGGAGUUAUCAGGCUUUGGACACAUAAUGAAAAGACAUGAUUCACUAGAAAAGACAAUAAUGCUGGGAAAAACAGAAGGGAGUAGAAAAAGAGGAAGGCCAAACAAGAGAUGGAUUGAUUCCGUAAAGGAAGCCACAGACCUGAACUUACAAGAUUUGAAUAGGGUGGUUUAUAGCAGAGAUGCUAUUGGAGGUCGCUGAUUCAUAGGGUCGCCAUAAGUCGUAAUCAACUUGAAGGCACAUAACAACAACAAAGCCAGCCCCCAGAAUGUCAUUCCCAUGAUAUGUGGUAAUGCCAAGCAUUUUAGGAUUGUGAUAGGUCAAUAAUUGUUACGGGCCUUGUCUUAUCUCAGAUUUUCUCCUUUUUCUAUGCACUCACCCUGGUCAUGUGUUUGCUUAAUUUUACUGAGACCUCAACAUUUUCACAGUUCCUGAACCUGAUUCCUUAUGUCAGCCUAAAAUUUGCUGAAGCCUAGAAACUACGACACUUCUCAAUUCUGAUUCUUUAAAAUAGGGCUCAUCCACGCAACAGUUUAGUGUGUGUUUGGUGCUACUUGCAUCCCCUUUUAAUUCGCGUGGUUCACAUGACGUUACUGGCAAAGAGAAGCUAUCACACAAUCCCCCCCCCGUAAAUCCGUACUA